GGGGUGGAGCAGCCUGGUAGCUCGUCGGGCUCAUAACCCGAAGGUCGUCGGUUCAAAUCCGGCCCCUA
rnacentral:tRNA from 1 species